AAACGUUAGCUGCGCACUGAAAGACAUUGUCUCCCAACAGCUAGUUGUCAUCGUUUACGGCGUGGACUACCAGGGUAUCUAAUCCUGUUCGCUACCCACGCUUUCGCACCUCAGUGUCAGUACAGAUCCAGGAGGCCGCCUUCGCCACUGGUAUUCUUCAUAAUAUCUACGCAUUCCACCGCUACACUAUGAAUUCUACCUCCCUCUAUCGUACUCUAGUGAGUUAGUUUUGGAUGCAGUUCCUAGGUUGAGCCCAGGGCUUUCACAUCCAACUUAACAAACCACCUACGCGCGCUUUACGCCCAGUAAUUCCGAUUAACGCUUGCACCUUCCGUAUUACCGCGGCUGCUGGCACGGAAUUAGCCGGUGCUUAUUCUGCAGGUAACAUCAAGGUUAUAAGGUAUUAACUUAUAACUUUUUCUCCCUGCUUAAAGUGCUUUACAACCCGAAGGCCUUC
rnacentral:rRNA from 1 species